rnacentral:rRNA from 1 species
GACGAACGCUGGCGGCGUGCUUAACACAUGCAAGUCGAACGGAAAGGCCCUGCUUUUGUGGGGUGCUCGAGUGGCGAACGGGUGAGUAACACGCGAGUAACCUGCCCUUGACUUUGGGAUAACUUCAGGAAACUGGGGCUAAUACCGGAUAGGAGCCCCUGCUGCAUGGUGGGGGUUGGAAAGUUUCGGCGGUUGGGGAUGGACUCGCGGCUUAUCAGCUUGUUGGUGGGGUAGUGGCUUACCAAGGCUUUGACGGGUAGCCGGCCUGAGAGGGUGACCGGCCACAUUGGGACAGAGAUACGGCCCAGACUGCUACGGGAGGCAGCAGUGGGGAAUAUUGCACAAUGGGCGGAAGCCUGAUGCAGCAACGCCGCGUGCGGGAUGACGGCCUUCGGGUUGUAAACCGCUUUCGCCUGUGACGAAGCGUGAGUGACGGUAAUGGGUAAAGAAGCACCGGCUAAGUACGUG